AGGGGAAUAUUGGACAAUGGGCGAAAGCCUGAUCCAGCCAUGCCGCGUGUGUGAAGAAGGUCUUCGGAUUGUAAAGCACUUUAAGUUGGGAGGAAGGGCAUUAACCUAAUACGUUAGUGUUUUGACGUUACCGACAGAAUAAGCACCGGCUAACUCUGUGCCAGCAGCCGCGGUAAUACAGAGGGUGCAAGCGUUAAUCGGAAUUACUGGGCGUAAAGCGCGCGUAGGUGGUAUGUUAAGUUGGAUGUGAAAUCCCCGGGCUCAACCUGGGAACUGCAUUCAAAACUGACUGACUAGAGUAUGGUAGAGGGUGGUGGAAUUUCCUGUGUAGCGGUGAAAUGCGUAGAUAUAGGAAGGAACACCAGUGGCGAAGGCGACCACCUGGACUAAUACUGACACUGAGGUGCGAAAGCGUGGUGAGCAAACA
rnacentral:rRNA from 1 species